rnacentral:rRNA from 1 species
AGUCGAACGAACCUUCGGGUUAGUGGCGGACGGGUGAGUAACGCGUGAGAAUCUGCCCUCAGGAGGGGGAUAACGGUUGGAAACGACCGCUAAUACCCCAUAUGCCGCGAGGUGAAAUGAAUUUCGCCUGAGGAUGAGCUCGCGUCUGAUUAGCUAGUUGGUGGGGUAAGGGCCUACCAAGGCAUCGAUCAGUAGCUGGUCUGAGAGGAUGAUCAGCCACACUGGGACUGAGACACGGCCCAAACUCCUACGGGAGGCAGCAGUGGGGAAUUUUCCGCAAUGGGCGAAAGCCUGACGGAGCAACGCCGCGUGAGGGAUGAAGGCCUCUGGGCUGUAAACCUCUUUUAUCAAGGAAGAAGAUCUGACGGUACUUGAUGAAUAAGCCACGGCUAAUUCCGUGCCAGCAGCCGCGGUAAUACGGGAGUGGCAAGCGUUAUCCGGAAUUAUUGGGCGUAAAGCGUCCGCAGGCGGCCCUUCAAGUCUGCUGUUAAAAAGUGGAGCUUAACUCCAUCAUGGCAGUGGAAACUGUUGGGCUUGAGUGUGGUAGGGGCAGAGGGAAUUCCCGGUGUAGCAGUGAAAUGCGUAGGUAUCGGGAAGAACACCAGUGGCGAAGGCGCUCUGCUGGGCCAUCACUGACGCUCAUGGACGAAAGCCAGGGGAGCGAAAGGGAUUAGAUACCCCUGUAGUCCUGGCCGUAAACGAUGAACACCAGGUGUCGGGGGAAUCGACCCCCUCGGUGUCGUAGCCAACGCGUUAAGUGUUCCGCCUGGGGAGUACGCACGCAAGUGUGAAACUCAAAGGAAUUGACGGGGGCCCGCACAAGCG